AUUGAACGCUGGCGGCAGGCCUAACACAUGCAAGUCGAGCGGAUGAAGGGAGCUUGCUCCUGGAUUCAGCGGCGGACGGGUGAGUAAUGCCUAGGAAUCUGCCUGGUAGUGGGGGAUAACGUCCGGAAACGGGCGCUAAUACCGCAUACGCCCUGAGGGAGAAAGUGGGGGAUCUUCGGACCUCACGCUAUCAGAUGAGCCUAGGUCGGAUUAGCUAGUUGGUGGGGUAAAGGCCUACCAAGGCGACGAUCCGUAACUGGUCUGAGAGGAUGAUCAGUCACACUGGAACUGAGACACGGUCCAGACUCCUACGGGAGGCAGCAGUGGGGAAUAUUGGACAAUGGGCGAAAGCCUGAUCCAGCCAUGCCGCGUGUGUGAAGAAGGUCUUCGGAUUGUAAAGCACUUUAAGUUGGGAGGAAGGGCAGUAAGUUAAUACCUUGCUGUUGUGACGUUACCAACAGAAUAAGCACCGGCUAACUUCGUG
rnacentral:rRNA from 1 species